GACGAACGCUGGCGGCGUGCUUAACACAUGCAAGUCGAACGGAAAGGCCCUGCUUUUGUGGGGUGCUCGAGUGGCGAACGGGUGAGUAACACGUGAGUAACCUGCCCUUGACUUUGGGAUAACUUCAGGAAACUGGGGCUAAUACCGGAUAGGAGCUCCUGCUGCAUGGUGGGGGUUGGAAAGUUUCGGCGGGUGGGGAUGGACUCGCGGCUUAUCAGCUUGUUGGUGGGGUAGUGGCUUACCAAGGCAUUGACGGGUAGCCGGCCUGAGAGGGUGACCGGCCACAUUGGGACUAAGAUACGGCCCAGACUCCUACGGGAGGCAGCAGUGGGGAAUAUUGCACAAUGGGCGGAAGCCUGAUGCAGCAACGCCGCGUGCGGGAUGACGGCCUGCGGGGUGUAAACCGCUUUCGCCUGUGACGAAGCGUGAGUGACGGUAAUGGGUAAAGAAGCACCGGCUAACUACGUG
rnacentral:rRNA from 1 species